GACGAACGCUGGCGGCGUGCUUAACACAUGCAAGUCGAACGGAAAGGCUCCAGCUUGCUGGCGUACUCGAGUGGCGAACGGGUGAGUAACACGUGGGUAAACUGUCCUGCAAUCUGGGAUAAGACUGGGAAACAGGGGCUAAUACUGGAUAUGAUCUUUUUACUUAUGGGGUUUGGUGGUAAGAUUUUCGGUAUAGGAUGGGCACGCGGCCUAUCAGCUUGUAGGUGGGGUGUUGGCAUACGACGGCGUCGACGGGUAGCCGACCUGAGAGGGUGACCGGGGACAUGAGGACUACGGGAGGGCGCAGACGCCAACGUUACGCAGUAGGGGAGAACAUGACAGAAUAGGCCGGAGCCAGAGGUGACGACGCCGCGUGAGUGAAGACGGGCUUCUAGUGAUAAACCUCUGUCUGCAGGGACGAAGCGUAAUUGACGGUACCUACAGAAGAAGCACCGGCUAACUAUGUG
rnacentral:rRNA from 1 species